rnacentral:rRNA from 1 species
AGAGUUUGAUUCUGGCUCAGAACGAACGCUGGCGGCGUGGAUAAGACAUGCAAGUCGAACGAGAGAAUUGCUAGCUUGCUAAUAAUUCUCUAGUGGCGCACGGGUGAGUAACACGUGAGUAACCUGCCCCCGAGAGCGGGAUAGCCCUGGGAAACUGGGAUUAAUACCGCAUAGAAUCGCAAGAUUAAAGCAGCAAUGCGCUUGGGGAUGGGCUCGCGGCCUAUUAGUUAGUUGGUGAGGUAACGGCUCACCAAGGCGAUGACGGGUAGCCGGUCUGAGAGGAUGUCCGGCCACACUGGAACUGAGACACGGUCCAGACACCUACGGGUGGCAGCAGUCGAGAAUCAUUCACAAUGGGGGAAACCCUGAUGGUGCGACGCCGCGUGGGGGAAUGAAGGUCUUCGGAUUGUAAACCCCUGUCAUGUGGGAGCAAAUUAAAAAGAUAGUACCACAAGAGGAAGAGACGGCUAACUCUGUGCCAGCAGCCGCGGUAAUACAGAGGUCUCAAGCGUUGUUCGGAAUCACUGGGCGUAAAGCGUGCGUAGGCUGUUUCGUAAGUCGUGUGUGAAAGGCGCGGGCUCAACCCGCGGACGGCACAUGAUACUGCGAGACUAGAGUAAUGGAGGGGGAACCGGAAUUCUCGGUGUAGCAGUGAAAUGCGUAGAUAUCGAGAGGAACACUCGUGGCGAAGGCGGGUUCCUGGACAUUAACUGACGCUGAGGCACGAAGGCCAGGGGAGCGAAAGGGAUUAGAUACCCCUGUAGUCCUGGCAGUAAACGGUGCACGCUUGGUGUGCGGGGAAUCGACCCCCUGCGUGCCGGAGCUAACGCGUUAAGCGUGCCGCCUGGGGAGUACGGU